UGAGGCAUAAAAAGGAUGAGAGCGAGUCUGAGGUUUAAGCCUCGGCCUGGAACCCGGCGAUGACCCGAAUCAUCUGAGGACAGGAGACAGAACGAGGGGGGGUAAGAGUGACGCUGGUUAUUUAUUGAUGAGGACAGCAGAGGAUCGCUCCCCUCUGUCUGUCUGCUCGGAUCAGCUGAUCGUAGCGAGGGCAUUUGGGAUCGUUAUCAGAAACUGUUCAGAGCUCAGUCUGUUGUUCUGCUGCUCUCUGAGUCUCUGCUCCAUGGAUGACUCAUCAUGGCGGGAGAGUCUGGAAAUACUGAGUCUGUGUGUCUGACGUACGCUGCAGUUCAUCGUUGUGACCAGCAGGCGGCGGUGCAGAUGGCGGCGCAGACAGACGGCUGAGACCUCAGAGAGAUCCACCCGUCUUUACUCCUUCUAAUGAAUGAAAUGCGCCCCCAGCUUUCCACGGAGCUGAGCGCUGAACUCUGCUUCUAGCAAGGAUGAAGAAGAAAGAGACACAGAGGCUGGAUGGGACAGUGCUGGUUGUGAAUAAGUCUUUUCAGUCAGACAUGACUGUAAAGUCAUUGCCAGAUUUCAAAGCUCUGACACUUCCUGAACUUUCAAAGAAGUUGACCUCUAACGGCACCGUGGAGCCUGGAUCAGGUCUGACUGCCCUCAGGGCCAAACUGGAAGAAGGCCUAGACUCUGAUGUUGGUCCAUCCAUCCAUCCAUCCAUCCAUUUCUGCUGCUUAUCCAGGUUCAGGUUCCAGGGCCAGCAGUCUAAGUAAAGACCUCCAGACCUCCCUCUCCCAACCACCUGCUUCAGCUCUUCCAAGCCAUCUAAAAGGGGUAAUCUGCACAUCCUGGUUCUGGUCGGUGUUUAGCGUGUGCUCUCUCAGUUGAACGUCCCUGAGGUGAACCAUGAACCAUUGGAAGGUGGAGGAGUAGAUCUCAAGUCCUCCUGAAUGAGGGAGCUCCUCACCCUAUCUGUAACAGGAAGUCCUUUAGUGGAAGCUGAUUUCUGCCACAUUCUUUUAGUCACUCAAAGUGAUGUUCAAAGGUGAGCAGUGAAAUGCGGGUUGACUGCUUCACCUUCUCUUCUCCAGUGUAGCCCUCUCACUAAUGCAGUCUGUCAGUCUCCCUCCUUCCCUCCCUCUCGAAUAAGACGCUGAGAUACUUAAACUCUUCCACAUUCUUAAUCUGGAGUUAGGACUCCAUCAUUUUCCACCUGAGAACAAAGGUCUUAGACCUGGACAUGCUACUUCUCACCUCUGGAGCAUCAGUUCAUCAAUCAACCACGUGUGGCUGCUGCUUUCUAUGGAGACGAUUCCUCGUGGUAAAACAA